GUGGGGAAUAUUGGGCAAUGGGCGAAAGCCUGACCCAGCAACGCCGCGUGAAGGAAGAAGGCUUUCGGGUUGUAAACUUCUUUUAGCAGGGACGAAACAUGACGGUACCUGCAGAAUAAGCUCCGGCUAACUACGUGCCAGCAGCCGCGGUAAUACGUAGGGAGCAAGCGUUAUCCGGAUUUACUGGGUGUAAAGGGCGCGUAGGCGGGAGUAUAAGUCAGAUGUGAAAUCUGGGGGCUCAACCCCCAAACUGCAUUUGAAACUGUAUUUCUUGAGUGAUGGAGAGGCAAGUGGAAUUCCUAGUGUAGCGGUGAAAUGCGUAGAUAUUAGGAGGAACACCAGUGGCGAAGGCGACUUGCUGGACAUUAACUGACGCUGAGGCGCGAAAGCGUGGGGAGCAAACAGGAUUAGAAACCCGAGUAGUCC
rnacentral:rRNA from 1 species